rnacentral:lncRNA from 1 species
GUGAAAUUAUUAUGAGACAAAACUUAGGGGAGCACGGCCUGCUUUCCUAGCGCUCUGGUUAAAUGACCAACUAAUGGAAAACAAUCCUGGGGGGACCAGGGAGCCACUUCCUUUCCCACAUACUCCGGAAAUUAAAGUUGGUCUCCUUAAGGCUGGAGUGUCAAAUCGUUGUUUUAAGCUUGUCACAAAUGUAACUUACAUUUGGACUAAUGUUUUAAAAAAUAAUUGGAGUUUUGAAUCUACGAAGAUACCUUGGAAGUAAACAUAGUUAUUAUUUUGGUGGGAAAAAAAUGAAUGGACUAGAAAGUGAGUCACCUGUCCUGUUUCCGGGGCUCAGCUCUAGCAAAGUACCUUUCUCCAUCUACAGUCUCCGGCACACAGC